AUUGAACGCUGGCGGCAUGCCUUACACAUGCAAGUCGAACGGUAACAGGCCGCAAGGUGCUGACGAGUGGCGAACGGGUGAGUAAUGCAUCGGAACGUGCCCAGUCGUGGGGGAUAACUGCUCGAAAGAGCAGCUAAUACCGCAUACGACCUGAGGGUGAAAGCGGGGGACCGUAAGGCCUCGCGCGAUUGGAGCGGCCGAUGUCAGAUUAGCUAGUUGGUGGGGUAAAGGCCUACCAAGGCAACGAUCUGUAGUUGGUCUGAGAGGACGACCAGCCACACUGGGACUGAGACACGGCCCAGACUCCUACGGGAGGCAGCAGUGGGGAAUUUUGGACAUGGGCGCAAGCCUGAUCCAGCAAUGCCGCGUGCAGGAAGAAGGCCUUCGGGUUGUAAACUGCUUUUGUCAGGGAAGAAAUCUUCUGGGCUAAUACCCCGGGAGGAUGACGGUACCUGAAGAAUAAGCACCGGCUAACUACGUGCCAGCAGCCGCGGUAAGAC
rnacentral:rRNA from 1 species